rnacentral:rRNA from 1 species
UACGUAGGGGGCUAGCGUUGUCCGGAUUUAUUGGGCGUAAAGAGCGUGUAGGCAGCCAGGUAGGUCUGCUGUGAAAACUCGAGGCUCAACCUCGAGAUGUCGGCGGAAACCAUCUGGCUAGAGUCCGGAAGAGGAAAGUGGAAUUCCUUGUGUAGCGGUGAAAUGCGCAGAUAUCAGGAAGAACACCCGUGGCGAAGGCGGCUUUCUGGGACGGUACUGACGCUGAGACGCGAAAGCGUGGGGAGCGAACAGG